AUUUGAUUCCAACGAAGCUGAGUCACAGUUUAAGCGCCAGCUGCCAUAAGAUAAGAAAAUACAACUAACACAGUAAAAAAUUGAGUAUAUUUGGAAGGUGUAAUUUAGUAAGGUUGAAUAUUACCUCUUUUAUCAUGUAAAAUUACACAUUUUCAAUGGUAUUUUUUAUCGGUCACUAUCGGAAUAUGCAAUGAACCCUAUCAUCCGACGUAUCAAACUUCAUGAAAUUGAAAGUUAUGACCAUCUGAGAUCAUGCCGAUGUCCCCUGACCCAACUUGGUCACUCCGGAACCGGUUACCGGUGGUCACUUGGCGACACUAUCGGAAUAUGCACGUCCAAUUUCCCAUAAGUUUUCCCUUGACAGCAUUUCAAUUGGAUGUAAGGGCUUACAUAAGUUACGGAAAUUGCUUUCCGCAUAAUUGAUCGACGCCACCAACAUCGUCAGCACAGCCGGCAACAGUAACCCAAACUGCUAACAAAGCUAAACUUCGUUUACCUCGCCGCGAUUGAAGCAAGUCGCUCGAUUAAUGCUUUGCAAGCAAAACCUCAGUACCUCGUGUGUGAGGCUCUGGGGGACUUUUCGAUCGCAAUAAAAUCAGAACGUUUUGGACAGUCUAACACAACGCGUCGGCGUUAUUUAUUUCGAAACUUCCCCCCUUUCAUAAUGGGAUCUUUAUAACUGGCGCAGUCGAGUCUUCGCCGGAAGGUGGCUGUGCCCAGUGAUUGAAGUGGUCGUUCGCGAAAAUCUCGGUAGUGAGACCAAAAGUGCAAGUUAAUGCGAAAAACACGGCAGUUGUUCAUUCAGCAGAAAUUCGUCACCAACGGCUCUGGAGAUCAGGAGUGAAGCCGCCAAGGAAAUUACCUGGUGAAGCAGCCACCGACCGAAGAAGAUGAACCAACGUUAUCCGCUGGAUACUUCGGCAAGAGGCGUGAUACCAUCGUGUGCACAUCGCGAAAAACUCAGAACCGAGUUCAGGAGCGCAGCACGACAUGGAUUUCAACACCUUCGACGAGGGAGACAAAGGAACAGCGUUACCCGGAUUUUCAACAAGCAACAAAAUUUAAAGUGAAAAAAAUCUAAAUUCAAAAUUCAAAAAUAUUUUUCCAAAUUUGAUAAGUUAAGUGAGUGUGUGUGUGAGUAAAAACAAAAUCAGCAAUUCGGAAAUCAUUUAAAUAAUUCAGCAUGAUCAGAUUAACUAAUUUGACAAAAGGAAAAAACACGAUUCAAAAUUUAUUUUUUUAGAAGGUGUGUGAGUGAUAAAAAAAAACAAAGAAAACCAUUUCAAAAUUAUGCAGCAAAAAAAAUUCAGUUAAUCGAGUGU